CACAUAAUAACACUGUAGUCCACAUCCAUCCUGAGCGCUGUGUGUGCAAACGUGUGGUCAUCUCAGCUGCAGCAGUGGUGCUGAAUAUCCGUGAGAGUACUGCCACAUUGUUUUCAUGCACAAAACCUU